GACAGAGGGUGCAAACGUUGCUCGGAAUCACUGGGCGUAAAGGGCGUGUAGGCGGGAAGGAAAGUCAGAUGUGAAAGCCCUGGGCUCAACCCAGGAACUGCAUUUGAAACUCCCUUUCUUGAGUGUCGGAGAGGAAAGCGGAAUUCCUGGUGUAGAGGUGAAAUUCGUAGAUAUCAGGAGGAACACCGGUGGCGAAGGCGGCACCCUGGACCGGUAUUGACGCUGAGGCGCGAAAGCCAGGGGAGCAAACGGG
rnacentral:rRNA from 1 species